ACAAGCUAUACCGCUUGAUGUAGUGGAGUGGUUUAGCUUGAGCUUCUCAUGGGUCUAGUGGGUUUGCUAUGCUCAAAAGCAGGGAUUAUUUGCUUGGGUCGUUUGUAUCUCUGAAGUCUGCUUUUACAGUACGAUCGGAAAGGUUUAAGGCUAUGAAUUUGCCAGAAAGCUCUGCUGGCGGUACCUUUUUGAAGACAUAGAGUUAUGCUUUCUUGUUGUGAUGUGGAGACUAAAGGUCCAAAGUCAAUAGCCUAUAAUUCUGCAACCAAAUAUAGAAGAAGAGAAUCCAUGAAUCCAUUUGCCUAUUGAGAAGAAUACCUCCACCACUAGCAGCUCUUGGAUUAGGAAUACAGGUACCGUCGACGUUGAUCUUUAUCCAACCUCGAGGAGGAGCAUCUACCCAACAAAAGGAGCAAGACUCCGAGAGUUUACAAGAAGGCCUCUUUGUAAGAGAAGCGAAUUCAAUAGCCAACUCAUAAAUGUGUUCCACCACCAAUGCGACAGGCAUCUGGUUGAUUGGUUCCACACUUUCACGUCUCCAUUUCCAGACUUGCUAGAUAUUUGAUCAGGUUCUCGAUCAAGCAUCAAGCAUUAUAACGCUCUUUCCAAGUGCAAAUUCCUUUAGCAGAACAACUCCAAAUAAUUUGAUCAUUGAUUGUCGCAAAAAUAAGAGAGGCACUGCACAAAUAAGCCGUUUCAGAGGGAGC
rnacentral:misc_RNA from 1 species